rnacentral:rRNA from 1 species
GAUGAACGCUGGCGGCGUGCUUAACACAUGCAAGUCGAGCGAGAAGUUUUGAAAAGAUUCUUCGGAUGAAAUUUAAAAUGGAAAGCGGCGGACGGGUGAGUAACGCGUAGGCAACCUGCCCCAUACAAAGGGAUAGCAUUUGGAAACGAAUAUUAAUACCUUAUGAAACUUAACUAGUGCAUGCUAGGUAGGUCAAAGAUUUAUCGGUAUGGGAUGGGCCUGCGUCUGAUUAGCUAGUUGGUGAGGUAACGGCUCACCAAGGCGACGAUCAGUAGCCGACCUGAGAAGGUGAACGGCCACAUUGGAACUGAGACACGGUCCAAACUCCUUCGGGAGGCAGCAGUGGGGAAUAUUGCACAAUGGGGGAAACCCUGAUGCAGCAACGCCGCGUGAACGAUGAAGGCCUUUGGGUCGUACAGUUCUGUUCUAGGUGAUGAAAACUGGCAGUAACCGAGGAGAAAGCCCCGGCUAACUCCGUG